rnacentral:rRNA from 1 species
GUGAACGCUGGCGGUAGGCCUAACCCCUGCAAGUCGCACGGCAGCACAGUAAGAGCUUGCUCUUACGGGUGGCGAGUGGCGGACGGGUGAGGAAUACAUCGGAAUCUACUUUUUCGUGGGGGAUAACGUAGGGAAACUUACGCUAAUACCGCAUACGACCUACGGGUGAAAGCCGGGGAUCUUCGGACCUUGCGCGAUUGAAUGAGCCGAUGUCGGAUUAGCUAGUUGGCGGGGUAACGGCCCACCAAGGCGACGAUCCGUAGCUGGUCUGAGAGGAUGAUCAGCCACACUGGAACUGAGACACGGUCCAGACUCCUACGGGAGGCAGCAGUGGGGAAUAUUGGACAAUGGGCGCAAGCCUGAUCCAGCCAUACCGCGUGGGUGAAGAAGGCCUUCGGGUUGUAAAGCCCUUUUGUUGGGAAAGAAAAGCAGCAGGUUAAUACCCCGCUGUUCUGACGGUACCCAAAGAAUAAGCACCGGCUAACUUCGUG